UUAUUCAUUUUAGGCAAUUUGUGAUUUAUUUGCAUUUUAAGUUUGCCUUCUCGCUGGGUAAAAUGUCACUAAAGAGGAUAUCAAAUAUUAAGGGAAUAGGUUAUAGUUAUCAAUAUUGGUGAUUGCCGGCCGAUUAUGUCUGUUGUUAUACGUUUGCAUAAUGUGCAAAUUAAUCUAGUCUGCAUCUGGGCUACCCAGCCUCCCUAGAACCACAAUUUGGAGUCGUUCCAGCCAUUAGACAUGGUUCCUGUUGGAACAUGAUCUACAACUUGCAGAUGCUUGAUAUGUUUAAUUGGGCACCUUCAGUCACCUUAACCUUUUAAGCCAGUUAGGAUAAAAAGUAUUGAUUCUGAUAUACAGAGUGGUGGUAGAGUCGAAGCAAAUGAGGAUAAUGCUGAAAAUUGUAGCUACAUAAUAUAAUUAAUUUGCUCUAUUUUAACUCCCCUACUCUUUAUGGUGAGAUGAUCCACUUCUUAUAUUCUUGAAGGAUGGAGCUUCUCUCAUGUGAAUUCGCUGAUUCUAGAUCUCUGAGAUAGCUGUCCGGAGCUUUAUUUUUCGGCUUCAGUCAAUGGAUCCUAACAGUAAUGGUAUUGAAGACAGAAGAAGCAUGUCAUUUGGCCGGACAAGCAGUAUUGGAUCUUCAGUGAGGAGGCGAUCAUUUAGUCAGUCGGGUCGUAUAUUAACACAUGCUGAUGAUGACAUCGAAAGUGAGAAUGUUUCAGAGGCCGGAGAUAUAGGGGAUCGGGCUCUUCAUAGUAGGCGGAACAGUCUGAGUGGCAGUCUCCGGUUGGAUAAUAAUCUGCCAGAGAAUGGUUCAGUUUUCCCCAUAGGGGAGGACACUUUCAGACAAGAGCUCAGGUCUCACGAUCCCGAGUCACUAAAUGCUGCCUCCACAACAUCACGGCUUCCAGAGGAAAAUCAAUCUCCUCUGCCCACCGAUGCACUGUUUCAAAAACCCGAUGAAAUACAAGAUGAUCAGAAACCACUACCCUUGUGGAUGGAAUAUGCAUCGUCUCUCAUUCAUCUUGCAGUUUUUGGAAUUCUCGGGGUCUUGACUAGGUAUUUACUUCAAAAGCUGUUUGGCCCCAGAAUUGCUUACCUGACGAGUGAUGGAACUGUUCUAUACCUUGAUCUACCAUCAAAUAUGGUUGGUUCAUUUCUGAUGGGAUGGUUUGGCGUUGUAUUCAAAGGAGAUAUUUCUAGAUUUUCAGAUUAUCUCGCCAUUGGACUUUCAACUGGAUAUUUGGGAAGCCUGACGACUUUCAGUGGUUGGAACCAGAAAAUGCUUGAUCUUAGCAUUGAUGGCAAGUGGCACCUUUCAUUUCUGGGCUUUAUGCUAGGCUUGUUUCUUUCGGCCUAUUCUAUCAUUUUUGGAGUUGAGACGGCAAAAGGGUUCAGGUGGCUUACCAGGAGGCCCAAGACAGAGUCUGGAGACAAUUCCAAGACCAGAAACAGGUGGAGGGUAGACACAUAUAAGCGGCACCUGGCAUCAAUUCUAAUGAUGCUUUUGCUGCUGGGCUUGUUAUGGGCUGUGAGUGGGACUUUGCUGAAGGAGGAGUAUGAUGAUGGCGGAAGCGAACCUCAACUGUGGCUGGCUUGUAUUGUUGGACCUCUGGGCGUUUGGAUAAGGUGGUUCUUGGCUCGACUUAACGGGCGUGGUCUUGGGAAGGCAGGAUCCUUGAAGUGGGUCCCCUUCGGGACCCUUAUUGCUAAUGUUUCUGCGUGUUGUGUUAUGGCGGCACUUGCCACAACAAAGAAAGCGGUGAAUUCGAAGAAUUGUGACACAAUCACAACGGGAAUCCAAUUUGGGUUAAUGGGUUGUCUUAGUACUGUAUCCACGUUCAUGGCCGAGUUCAAUGCAAUGAGAGAGAGCAACCACCCUUGGCGAGCUUACGCUUAUGCAAUCUCCACAAUGGUCAUCUCAUUUGUCCUCGGAAUUCUCAUAUACGAUGUGCCCGUCUGGGCUAAAGGGUACAAAUAAGCUUGCAAAGGGUGGUCGCUCUCUCAUCAUGCUGAACUCGGCCAUGAGAGUGGAUACAGCACUAAGGCAGUUCGGCACUGUUGGAUUUUUCUUGGUUUUGGUUAGGUAUCUAAGGUGGCAUUAUGGUGGUGUCCCUUCUUGCUCUCUGCAAUAUGAUUGGGGAAAGACUUGCUAUUGGAGGAUGUAAUGGUUCUCCUAUGUGUUGCCUCGGCUUCUUCGGUGCUUUUUUUAUUCCACCAUGUCGGUGGCAAAGAGCUUCAUAAUUGCACAUGUGGAGAAGGUCUCACGGUAAUGUCAGGUUGGAUGAUUGGGUGGUAGCAAAACUGCAGCAGCAGCUGUGUGUGGAUUGAAAGCGUAGCAGAAACCACGCUGAGAUAACAAUUCAGGAUGUUUCAUACUGAGAGUUUUUGAGGAAAUCUCAGCAGGUUGUGAAGCAGGUCGGGGCAAGUUGUGUUUGAAGAGAAGAGGUUCCUUGAAACAGCCGGAUAGAUGCGGCAUGGCUUGCAUUUUGGGCUCACAGAACUCUUGGUCAGGGAAUUUUCCGAUUUGCUGGGUUUUGAUUUUUUUUUUUGGCGUCACCUGAAAAUAAAGUCGGAUUCGGGAAGCCUCGAUGCUUUGCGUGGUGAACCUUAGUACCUUACAAUGUAGUCGGCAUUAGACUUGUUAUCAUUAUCAUACAAUGAACUAAACACGGGAGACCUCAUAGCGUUGAAGGAUGUUUGUGAAGGGUUAUCGACGGACUCGAAGGCCUACCAAGAUAAAGCCAAGCCAGUAGAGAUCUUACAAUUCAUCCAAAAUUUGUUUCCUGCCAUCACCUACUACAAAAUCUUGGCCCUGUGUUUAAGCAGACUUCCUCGACAAGACGUUAAUUGAUUUGGUGGCAACUUCUGUGAUGUUGAAUGUUGAUCAUCAAUUAUAUGUUUCCGGCAGCAUUUAGCUCCGAAUGAGAUAUCAAUUAAAAAGGACGAUUUCUUUACU